rnacentral:misc_RNA from 1 species
UCAAACUUGGUCAUUUAGAGGAAGUAAAAGUUGUAACAAGGUUUCCGUAGGUGAACCUGCGGAAGGAUCAUUACCGAGUGAGGGUCAUUCACAAUGUAGCCCCUAUCUCUGGCUGUGCGCCGCGAGGCUUGCACGCCGGUCCUUGGGGUUGCUCCUCACACACCUGUGCACUUCAAUCAGGCAUAAGACGGUGUCCGUCCUUUGCUUGUUUCAUUCACAUUGUCUUUGGUUUUUGGAUGUCUCAUUUUUAAACAUCAAAACAACUUUCAGCAACGGAUCUCUUGGCUCUCGCAUCGAUGAAGAACGCAGC